rnacentral:rRNA from 2 species
UACGUAGGUCCCGAGCGUUGUCCGGAUUUAUUGGGCGUAAAGCGAGCGCAGGCGGUUUAUUAAGUCUGGUGUAAAAGGCAGUGGCUCAACCAUUGUAUGCAUUGGAAACUGGUAGACUUGAGUGCAGGAGAGGAGAGUGGAAUUCCAUGUGUAGCGGUGAAAUGCGUAGAUAUAUGGAGGAACACCGGUGGCGAAAGCGGCUCUCUGGCCUGUAACUGACACUGAGGCUCGAAAGCGUGGGGAGCAAACAGG